AAUCUUGUCUAAAGAAAAAGGCCAAGGCAUUAAAAUUGUAUUACGUACAUGACUGAAAAUUGGUUUUCCCUUAGUAAGGUGGGUGAUGGCCAUCAAAGCUUUUGUCGUUUGUACUGAGUUUGCAUCUCUAUUUAUGUAUUUAUUCUCUGCCCAUGUUCUAAGUUUGUUUCUGAUUCCGUUACUCGUGUUAUAUCGGCGGUGAUGGAUGAAUUGUGUUAUAUAGAAGAAUUGGAGCACGUAUUCUUAGAUGAAAUAAAUCCUUUGCCAUAUAAAUGACACACUAAAAAAAAAUCAUGAUUUCGGACUGAAUAAUUUCUGUGAAAAAUAUUUUGUCAGAAAUAUUUAAAUUAACAAUAGAGUUUAUUGAAUGAUUAAAUUUCGUCAAGAAAUUUUCGAAUUACCGACUGAAUUUAUUGACGAAUUAAAUUCCGUAAAUUUUCUAAUUAUCGACAAAAUUUAGCGAUAAAUUUAAAUAUUUCCAACAGCCGUCGAAAAUUAAAAUUUUCUCCCCAACAAAAAAUUCCCAACCCUAGCUAGACUCUCACUCACUCACGCUCGCAGCUACGCCUCCGUCGUACGAGGCCCCUGCCACCGACAUCGUUGGGCCGUCGCCGUUGAGCCCUGACCGCCGUGGCCACGCCGGCUGGUUUGGACUCCGAUUUUAUUUUUCUGUUUCACUCACUUUGUGUGUUUUGCACAGGUCAAAGGAGAGAAAACAAAGCCCAAUUGCUUUUCACCUUCGUCCUGCUUCCAAUUUUCCUUUGCUUUGAAAUUGCAAGUCGUGACUACGUCGUUUGGAGCAUCUGCGUAAAGCUUACCCAUUCUGUUGUUCUCCGAGUACGAUUAGUUCUAAUUGAAGGUGUGAUGUUAAGUUUUAAUCUCUGUUUUGUAUGGUCUGAUUGUUGAAUCAUAAUUUGGUUGAUUCAAUUUCACUUUUGAUGAACUGUUUAUCAUGUUUAUGAACAAAGUUUCGAUAUUAUGGAUUUUCUUUAUUAAUUGCUUUUAUAUUGAUUUCCUUUAUUAAACUUGAUUAAACAAGGAGGGGGUGACUAUUAAGUUAAUUUGACUAUAGAAAUAUAGUGAGAUUAAAAAUUUGACUAAUUGUACAAAGAUGAAAAGCAAAUCACUUGUGUCUGGGGGUGUUCAAAUAAGGUGGAAUUUUCCACCUUGAUGUUAG
rnacentral:lncRNA from 1 species